UUACUCUUCAUAGAUGAAAAGUCCCUUACAGGGACUUCUUCUGGGCCAGGCAGGACCUGCAUUAAACUGGAUACAUAUGCUGACAGAGGGUUUGGAAUUGAUCAGUCGUUCUGAUCAUCCAUUAAGCUGGGUUCAGCACAUUGCCUUUGGAAAGAAGGGGAAGAUGAACUUCUGACCACAGACACAGUACAGAUGAGACAGGAAAAACAAGCCAGAAGGAUCAGGUCCAGCUGAUUGGAAGGUUGAGGUCCAACCAGGCAUUGCAAAUGCUGAAAAUAUUCAGUGAGGAAAGAGUCUCAGAGACAGCAUUACUGCUUUCUCUGAAGUCCUCCUGGACUUCUGGGAACAGAAGAUGACAAGAAUAUGAGUGUUCUCAACAAAUCCAACACUGAAGGAUGCUAUUUAGCACAAGGA